GUGGCAGUACAGCACAGUGGUAAGGAGUAGGGCUCGUAACCGAAAGGUUUCCAGUUCGAUUCCCUACUGGGACA